rnacentral:rRNA from 1 species
ACAUCCAGAGAACUUAGCAGAGAUGCUUUGGUGCUUCGGAACGUCUGAGACAGGUGCUGCAUGGCUGUCGUCAGCUCGUGUUGUGAAAUGUUGGGUUAAGUCCCGCAACGAGCGCAACCCUUAUCCUUUGUUGCCAGCGAUUCGGUCGGGAACUCAAAGGAGACUGCCGGUGAUAAACCGGAGGAAGGUGGGGAUGACGUCAAGUCAUCAUGGCCCUUACGAGUAGGGCUACACACGUGCUACAAUGGCGCAUACAAAGAGAAGCGACCUCGCGAGAGCAAGCGGACCUCACAAAGUGCGUCGUAGUCCGGAUCGGAGUCUGCAACUCGACUCCGUGAAGUCGGAAUCGCUAGUAAUCGUGGAUCAGAAUGCCACGGUGAAUACGUUCCCGGGCCUUGUACACACCGCCCGUCACACCAUGGGAGUGGGUUGCAAAAGAAGUAGGUAGCUUAACCUUCGGGAGGGCGCUUACCACUUUGUGAUUCAUGACUGGGGUGAAGUCGUAACAAGGUAAGCGUAGUGCU